CAAGUCGAACGCGAAAGUUCCCUUCGGGGAGCGAGUAGAGUGGCGCACGGGUGAGUAACACGUGGGUAAUCUACCUUUGGAUGGGGAAUAACAACCGGAAACGGUUGCUAAUACCGCAUAAUGCAGCGGCACCUAAUGGUGACAGUUGUUAAAGCGGGGGAUCGCAAGACCUCGCGUCUAAAGAGGAGCCCGCGGCGGAUUAGCUAGUUGGUAAGGUAACGGCUUACCAAGGCGAUGAUCCGUAGCCGGCCUGAGAGGGCGGUCGGCCACACUGACACUGACAUACGGGUCAGACUCCUACGGGAGGCAGCAGUCGGGAAUUUUGGGCAAUGGGCGAAAGCCUGACCCAGCAACGCCGCGUGAAGGAUGAAAUCCUUCGGGAUGUAAACUUCGCAAGAACAGGAAGAAUAAGCCGGUGUAAAUACCACCGGCGAUGACGGUACUGUUUGUAAGCUCCGGCUAACUCCGUGCCAGCAGCCGCGGUAAUACGGGGGGAGCAAGCGUUGUUCGGAUUUACUGGGCGUAAAGGGCGCGUAGGCGGCCUCUGCAAGUCGACUGUGAAAUCUCCGGGCUUAACCCGGAAAGGUCAGCCGAUACUGCAGGGCUAGAGUGCAGAAGGGGCAACUGGAAUUCUCGGUGUAGCGGUGAAAUGCGUAGAUAUCGAGAGGAACACCUGCGGCGAAGGCGGGUUGCUGGGCUGACACUGACGCUGACAGCGCGAAAGCUAGGGGAGCGAACGGGAUUAGAUACCCCGGUAGUCCUAGCCUUAAACGAUGAAUGCUUGGUGUCUGGGGUUUUAUAGUCCCCGGGUGCCGUCGCUAACGCUUUAAGCAUUCCGCCUGGGGAGUACGGUCGCAAGACUGAAACUCAAAGGAAUUGACGGGGACCCGCACAAGCGGUGGA
rnacentral:rRNA from 1 species